GCUCUGCCUUUCGGGAGUGUGUCCCAGGAACGCCCUGUUCCUCACCCACCACCCCUUUCUGUGUGUGUCAGGCCUGCAGGCGGCAUGCAGAGAGUGAGGGGAGGCUUCGGAGGAGGCUGCAGUGGGGCAGUUUCUGCCAGGGAGGAGAUGGAAGCCCACCCUGACCUCCUCUGGCUCUUGAGGCCACCUGGACUUCCUCUGUUGAAGAAUGUUGCCUCUUUCACGUGCUAAUCUCCCAUCCCAAGCUGGACCCUCUGACUGGGACCCCAAAGAGGGCUGUAUCUCCAGAGGCCGGCAAGAACCCAGCAGAGGGCAGCCGUGGGGGCCAGGUGUCGGAUGAGGAAACAGAGGUCCUGAGAGGGGAAAGGGCUGGCUUGUGUCUGGAAGCAGAGAUGGUGGCUCAGCUGGAGACGUCCGAGGGAGGGCCCCAUCCUCCCGGGUUAGUGCUCUCAAGGAGGCGAGCUGUCCCCUGCCUGCCGUGUAUCUGGCCGAUACCCCAGCCUCUGUUUACCCAGCCCAGCGCCCAAGAGCUGCCUCUUCCGCCUGCUCCGGAGUCUCGGGUGCCUUCACAAUAGGAUUCUCUGUCUGUGCA